rnacentral:rRNA from 1 species
UACGAAGGGGGCUAGCGUUGCUCGGAAUCACUGGGCGUAAAGGGUGCGUAGGCGGGUCUUUAAGUCAGGGGUGAAAUCCUGGAGCUCAACUCCAGAACUGCCUUUGAUACUGAGGAUCUUGAGUUCGGGAGAGGUGAGUGGAACUGCGAGUGUAGAGGUGAAAUUCGUAGAUAUUCGCAAGAACACCAGUGGCGAAGGCGGCUCACUGGCCCGGAACUGACGCUGAGGCACGAAAGCGUGGGGAGCAAACAGG